UUUUUUCCGAAAACUCUAUCUGCUCUGUUUUAUUCAUGUUCAAAGAAUGUUCUCUAUUUGGGUCUUUGCAUUCCCUUUGUCCAGGCCCAAUAUGUAUAGGGUUUGUUUUGUCGUUUUAGACAUAUCGACGAGGAGAGCUUCACCGUCGCUUCCUUGUCUUCAUAUGAAACUCAGUCGAGCUCUCUGUAACGGCUUAGGUUUUCAUUUAUGUGCUUCUUAAAUCCGUGCCUUUUACGUGGUUUAUCCCACUUGUCCCUCUCUCGAGCAUUGAAUCAGGCUCUUCAUCUUCCAAGGCAACCUGCGAAUUAUCUUAUAAAUCUGCAAGAUCCCAGCGAUGAACAACACAUAGGUUGCCUAACCAAAUUCCGAGUUUCCAGACAUCGCUGGGGAGGUUACUGACAUCAUAACCAUCUACAAGAUGAAACUCAGACCAUUCAACGAGUUAUGUUAACAAUUGACAGGUAUGUAAGAGCAGAACAGAAACUAAUGUGGUCUAAACUAGCUCUCAGUUAAUCUUUUAAGAACCAGAAUUAUUUUGAGAACCAGAUUCUUCAUUAUAAAAUCAAAGAGGUUACAACUCGGUCCUUGAAGUUGUUUCCUACCAAGAAUCAUGCUGCAAAAUACAUAGGCACAGCUAUACUUGAAGGAUUCUCAGUUCAGUGAAGUGGACAGAGAAGAGUAUCAGUUCAGACCGAUAGGUUACUAAUCUAUUUCAAAUUCCAGGAACUCAUUCUAAAUGUUUCUUUGGAUCGAUUAGAUUAAUAUGAACUAAACUCCUGAAUGGGUUAGUCGAUCACCGUAGAAACUUGCAGUUCACACACUUUUGCCAGCUGCCACGUUCAAUAUGUUUGCUUAAGCUGGAUGGUUAUGUUCGGCCUCCUCCUCGCUCUCUUCCCAACCAGUAAGUGUUUCAAACCACAACAGACAACAUCAUCAUCAUGGGCAGUACGAAUACGUUUUGAAGAAGAAGCUUGAUCGUCCUGACCACAACGAGUCUCACUAUUACCAACAACUUCACCGAGUCCAUAAAGAUGACAACCAGAAGCAGCGUAGGCGAGGAGGCAAACAGAGGCAAACAGAGGCAAACGUGUGAUGUGAUCGCACGUGCACAUACAGAGGAGAGUUAAAAAAAGGCCAUUGGCAUGUGGGGAGAAACAUAUUUUGUGUAUGAUAACUAUAGGUUUCACGGAUCUAACUAUCAAAAACCAUAGGCUUUUUUUUGAAAUGACGAAAGCGUUCUUGCCUUCUAGAAAAUCACUAUGAAAUCAUUUCUCCAUCUAGAAAGA